UUCAAAUGGUUCACUGACACAAACAGUGGUGUAGUCUACGUAACACGCAGACUACAGGUAUACGCAGUAUAACCACUAAGAAAGCUCCAGGAUUUCCAUACACCCACUUAAAAAUGCCCAAUGACACACAACAUACUUUCCAUUAU